rnacentral:rRNA from 1 species
UGAGGGAUAUUGGUCAAUGGGCGCAAGCCUGAACCAGCGACGCUGCGUGGGUGAAGAAGGUCUUCGGAUCGUAAAGCCCUUUUCCCACUGAAGAGGAAGGACGGUAGGUGGGGAAGAAGUCUCGGCUAACUACGUGCCAGCAGCCGCGGUAAAACGUAGGAGACAAGCGUUAUCCGGAGUUACUGGGCGUAAAGGGCGUGCAGGUGGCGUCUUAAGUCUGUUGUGAAAGCGCCUGGCUUAACCGGGCGAGGCCAAUGGAGACUGAGAGGCUGGAGGACGGCGGAGGGGUGUGGAAUUCCGGGUGUAGUGGUGAAAUGCGUAGAGAUCCGGAGGAACACCAGAGGCGAAGGCGGCACUCUAAGCCGUACCUGACACUGAGACGCGACAGCACGGGGAGCAAAC